UUCCCUAAUUCACUGACCCUAACAGCACCCUUACCCUCCUUCAACAUAACACCACACAGAACGGAAGAAAGGAACGCAUAGACAAAGGGAAGAUGCUGCUGCUUCGCUGCCGUCGUGACCGCCGUGACCGCCGCACGAGAGGAUCCCAUGCCACCAUCGUUAGCGUUGCCCAGCCUUACCCGCGCUUCUGUGUUUGCUGUAAGCCGUUCGUGGAGCUGCGAAGAGCAUCAUCGUCGCGCCCAACCCAUUUCGCCGCCGUCGCUGCUAGCGCUCAUCGCAGGAAGCAUUGCCGUCGCUGUCAGAGAUCGGUGUUCCCUCACCGUUGCUGCGUCGCUGUCGAUGAAGCUUCUAUCGCCGCCGUGAAUUGCGAACAGAGGAGAGUGAGAGAGGCCGAAGAUGCGAGAGAGAAGAGGUGAUGAAUGAAGUCGUCCCUGAAGCCUUGGCCGUUGCUACCAGAGGCGUGGAGGAAGGGAGGCAGAACCGCGAGAUAGAGGAUGCACUGUGACUAUCAUUGCUGCUGCGAGUGUGGUCCACCGUAAAGUUGCACGCCGCCAUCGCCAUCGGAAACCACCGUUAGAACUACUACUAUUUUGUUGCCACCGAGGUCGUUGGUGCUUGUCAAGAGUGCUAUUCUGGUUCUGAAUUGAUUAGUUCAUGCCACUGCUGCUGCUGAGAAGUGAUCAGAAAUGCCGCUGCUGUUAGUUCGGUUCAAGGUUGCUGUUACCACUGCGAAUUAAAAAUAAAAGAAGGCUUUGUUGCGUUUGAUUAUCGAAUUUCGGCUAGUCGAGUGACACAGGUUCGAAGACUCCGUUUGAAGCUGCAGGCGAUUAUAGAUCUCAUUUAUGAGUUAAGUUUAUGACUCGAGUUAUUUUCAUAGAAGUUCCCUCGCUCUUAUUGCUUAACAUUUUAUUUUAUACAGAGGGAUAGGAUUUGUAUGUGAGUUUUAUUUGAAAUCUUUUGUAUGACAGAUAUUAUUAUUAAUGAUUAUGUGAUUAUUAUUACUUGGUGAUGCUUGCUAUAUGAUUUGAUAAAUAAAAACAAAAUUUUCUGGUAUUUUUACUAAAACAAAAUCGCGAUAUCGAACUAAAGGCUCAAUAGUAAAUAGUUAAUAAAGGAAAACAGGUUGGUAACACCUUACUUUCGGUACGAUCAUGACGUUCUGGAAGUUGGGUCGUUACAAAAUGUCACAAUAUCCAUCCAAACUCCAAUUUGGUCCAACAUGAGAAAGCAUUUCUAGCAUGAUUUCCUCAUCCCUUUUCCAAGGUUCAAAGGAGAUCCAAUUAUGGAGAGUUUCUUUUCCAAGACAACUAAUCAAUUGAAUUAAGAUCGAAAGCUUUCUAGUAAGAUCAAGAGAAAAGAAAGAAGAAGAAGAAUAAGAACUAUAAUUGAUCUAUCAAAUUACAAUAGAGCUCCCUAACCCAAUGAAAGGGGUUUAGUUGUUCAUAGCUCUAGGAAUAAAAAAUGGCAGAAAAGAAGAAUCCAUGCUAAAAGUAUAGAAAAGUAAAUAGCAGAGAGUAGUUCCCAAAAGUGCUAAGCUCCUCUCUAGUUCAAAACUACUCCUAUUUAUACUACUCCUUAUGAUCUUCUAGUAAGUUCUUCAAGUCUUAGAUGUGGGCUCUGGACCUU